AUUGGAGUUCUACUGAUGGAGAUAUGCAAUCUGAUUUGAGCCCUAAAAAUCCCUUGUCGCUUAAGCUUGCCAAAACUGAAGCCUUAAAGAAACGGCUAGACUCCGAGAAGACUAAAUAUUUGAACUCAGUCCAGGUUACCAGAGUCAUGACUCUAAACAAACUGCAAACAGGCCUCCCUAAUGUAUUCCAGGCAUUAAUGGGAUUUUCAAGUGCUUCUGCUCAGGCCUUUGAGGCUGUUCACAGCCAUGGCAGACCAGCAGUUGAUUGUGAUGCAUCAGAAAGCUCAAUGAGCUAAAUUUGUUAGAAAGAGAGAUGAAGUGGGAACUAGGUACACGCUUUGAAAAUCCAUUUGGUCAAUAUAUAAGCCAUAGGUGCAAGUUUUUUUGUGAUAUUCAAGGAUGCAGAUCAAACUACAACAAAAUUUAAAAUUUGUUUAUAGUGGCGGAUGUUAUUGAUUCAAUCAAUUAUACUGGACACGGUACAGUUGCCAGUCGCUGUGAUGUCAAUGUAAUGAAGUCCUACACUUGA
rnacentral:misc_RNA from 1 species